rnacentral:tRNA from 1 species
GGAGAGUUGGCCGAGUUGGUCGAAGGCGCAUGAUUGGAAAUCAUGUAUACCCCUAAAUGGUAUCGAGGGUUCGAAUCCCUUGCUCUCCG